UACGUAGGUGACAAGCGUUGUCCGGAUUUACUGGGCGUAAAGAGCGCGCAGGCGGUCGGCCAAGUCGAGUGUGAAAGCCCCCGGCUCAACUGGGGAGGGUCAUUCGAUACUGGUCGACUCGAAGGCAGGAGAGGGAAGCGGAAUUCCCGGUGUAGUGGUGAAAUGCGUAGAUAUCGGGAGGAACACCAGUGGCGAAGGCGGCUUCCUGGCCUGUUCUUGACGCUGAGGCGCGAAAGCUAGGGGAGCAAACGGG
rnacentral:rRNA from 1 species